GUCAGGUUAGGAACUCAAGCAGGA
rnacentral:piRNA from 1 species